GGCGCCCAAACCAUCCGAGCAAUUAUAUGUAUAAUCAAUUAGGUUUUAUGAUUGAAAUCUGUUAUGAGUUUUCUUUUUGAUUGAAAUCGACUUUCAACAAAACUGUUUGUUUACCCACAACAUCAAAUUAAUGCGAACUUAAAUCACCGGCGACGCUUCAAAUGGCAAAUCGGAUAUGUUCAAUGGGUAACACCAUAAAUGGUAGCGAAGACGGUGGUGGUGGGAGAACCUCGUCAUCCACCUAGGGUUUCAAUUGCAUAUUUCGUCUACUAAACAUCACAACUGCAAUCUUGAAGGAGGCAAAGCCACCGUUACCGUCACCGGAAUAAUCUCGUAAUCUCACAGGUUUAAAAAUUCCUUGUUAAAUCCGAAUGACACAUGGGUGUUGCCAUACCUUCAGUUUAUUGUUGUAGAAAUUCGGUUCCAAUGUAUGCUAAAGUCUCAACAGUUCACGUCUUCAUCUUCUUUGAUUCGCCUGCAAUUUAAGUUGACGGUGUUAUAAGAACAACAGGGGGUGGGGCUCGGCGAGUCGAACUUGUCACAACGAUGGCUAUGGAUUUCGGCAAUGGAAGACGACAAGACAUCUUCUCGAGUUCUCGGUCCAAUGGUCAGUUUUGGUUGGUACUGGCCGGUUUUAGCCCAGUUAAGUCUUGACAGAGCUAAGUUCUCAUAGUGCCUACGCCAAGCUUGCCUUGCGUCUAUUUAAGAUCUUAAAGGCAGCUGAUGUGGAUUUAGUUGUGAUCACUAGAGGAACACCUGGAUUCUCAGGUUUGUCAAACUUCGUUAAUGUUGAAAGGAAAGGAGUCAAAGUCUU
rnacentral:lncRNA from 1 species